rnacentral:rRNA from 1 species
GUGGGGAAUAUUGCACAAUGGGCGCAAGCCUGAUGCAGCGACGCCGCGUGAGGGAUGACGGCCUUCGGGUUGUAAACCUCUUUCGCCAGGGACGAAGCGCAAGUGACGGUACCUGGAGAAGAAGGACCGGCCAACUACGUGCCAGCAGCCGCGGUAAUACGUAGGGUCCGAGCGUUGUCCGGAAUUACUGGGCGUAAAGAGCUCGUAGGUGGUUUGUCGCGUUGUUCGUGAAAACUCACAGCUUAACUGUGGGCGUGCGGGCGAUACGGGCAGACUGGAGUACUGCAGGGGAGACUGGAAUUCCUGGUGUAGCGGUGGAAUGCGCAGAUAUCAGGAGGAACACCGGUGGCGAAGGCGGGUCUCUGGGCAGUAACUGACGCUGAGGAGCGAAAGCGUGGGGAGCGAACAGG